rnacentral:rRNA from 1 species
UACGGGGGGAGCAAGCGUUGUUCGGAUUACUGGGCGUAAAGGCGCGUAGGCGGCCAGCACAAGUCAGUUGUGAAAUCUCCGAGCUUAACUCGGAAAGGUCAACUGAUACUGUGCGGCUAGAGUGCAGAAGGGGCAACUGGAAUUCUUGGUGUAGCGGUGAAAUGCGUAGAUAUCAAGAGGAACACCUGCGGCGAAGGCGGGUUGCUGGGCUGACACGUGACGCUGAAGCGCGAAGCCAGGGGAGCGAACGGG